AAAGGGAGACCUAAUUCAGGUAAAAGACGAAAAAAAAGUAGUCGCUACCAAGAAUCAAUCCCAAAAGGUCGGAGCGAGGCGAAAUUGGCUUUCAAACUAGGUUCUGGGUUCACACAAGACCUGAAUCAGGAACAAGGGCUAUUAGCUCAGGUGGUUAGAGCGCACCCCUGAUAAGGGUGAGGUCCCUGAUUCGAGUCCAGGAUGGCCCACCUGCACAGGUGGCAAAAACAAGAGAAGCUCCGAAUCAGCACCUUAUCUUACUUAUAUAGUAAGAGAGAAUGCUGGCUCUGAGUAAAGAGUCCAGAGGAACCUUGAAAACUGCAUAGAGCUAGGUGAAAAAGCCAAAAAAGAAGACCGCAAG
rnacentral:tRNA from 1 species